UCCGCGGUAGCUCAGCGGUAGAGCAAUCGGCUGUUAACCGAUUGGUCGUAGGUUCGAAUCCUACCCGCGGAGCCA
rnacentral:tRNA from 1 species